rnacentral:snRNA from 1 species
GUGCUUGCUUAAACAGCACAUACACUAAUGCUGGCAAGGAAGGAUUAGCAUGGCACCUCUACAAGGAUGGUAUGCAAAUGCUUGGAGUAUUCCAUGCCUUU